CACGUAGGCACCAAGCGUUAUCCGGAUUUAUUGGGCGUAAAGAGCUCGUAGGCGGUUCGGUAAGUCGGGUGUGAAAACUCUGGGCUCAACCCAGAGAGGCCACCCGAUACUGCUGUGACUAGAGUGCGGUAGGGGAGCGGGGAAUUCCACGUGUAGCAGUGAAAUGCGUAGAGAUGUGGAGGAACACCGAUGGCGAAGGCAGACCCCUGGGUCAAGAUGGACGCUCAUGCACGAAAGCGUGGGGAGCAAACAGG
rnacentral:rRNA from 1 species